GCAAGAACAUCAGCCUGCAGAGAAGAAAAAUGGAGGACUGCUUUAUUCUGCGGUACAUCCACAAUAGUACAGCAAAUAAAGUAGUUAAAUAUGCGCUAAGAUUUAAGACCUUUUAAAAGGUAAGUAGUGAUCUAAAAGGUCUUGUAUUAGUUUGAAGAGGGAGCACAUAAUAAGACUGUAAGCCAGUACAUCAAAGUAAUGACGGCUUCCCAUUGAUUUCAUCAAACUAAUAUGACAAAGGGAAGGUGAAACUUCAGAAAACCAUAUAAAUUGACCACGAUGUCUUAAUUUAAAACUCUGAAAUGAAGUAAUAAACAUUAAGUCUGAAUGUUGUCACUAAAAAAGCAUAAAAAAAGCAGACCAGCCAGGAGUGCAUCAUAAUCAGUGGUUCAUCAUGCGCAAACCAGGCAGCAGUAGCCUAAUAACUUAGACGGAAAAAAUGCAAGAAGUCAAAGCACAAGGUGGGAAAUAGGACCGAGCAUUGACAGGUAACCAAAUAAUGAAAGAAUAUCCCCAUGAAAAUCAAGAACGGUACAUUAGCAUCCAGAAGUACAUAGAAACAAACAUUCCGCUUGGCAGAGUGUGAUCUCAGUAUGAUGUCAAUAGCUGGGACUAAGAAGGUAACCACGUAGAGUGUCACACCUAAGGCGUUUGCUUACGUCUCUAGUCUCUAGUAAUACAACUCACUAUUGAUUGAUUUAACUAAGGUAUUCUUCAGCUGGGUAUUUAUAAAGGGAAUUCACUAUGCUUUUUUACCAGCGAGUAGAGAGCAACUGAAGGACUUAUGUUUCUAAAUGCAAGAACAAACCUCACCAGGCUGCUGUGCAGACUUAUUGUCCGUGGAAGAUGCUACAGCUGAGCAAAAUUGGCUUGGGAUUUCUUCUAUGCCUGCUGCUCCCUCCUGCAGCAAUUAUUUGGAACAACAAAACAAUUUACUGUGAGAUGAGAGAAGGCACACUAAAGAAGCACAUCCAUAAGUGUAUAUCUAAUAAUAUAGAUGCUACAAAUCAAUAGAACUAAAAUACUCCAGCAAUUGGGAUCAGCUAGAUCUAUGUCUACAUCACCAAAUCAGAAGUUUAGUUACCUGUGGUUCGCUUGAUAGCAGUUGCAGGUUUUCAUGCGCUGAACUCAAGAACCGACCAGCAGCGACCAAAUCUAAGCACAACCAUCCCUCACAAUUUGAAUUCUACCCCAGCAAGUACAGACACGUCCUCUGCAACCUCAUACAGGUACGAAAGCGUCAUAAAGCACACCGCACUACGCCGCCACCACGACCUCCAAAACAUGUAUAACGACUGAAAUAAGCGGACGCAUUCUGUUCACACACAAGCAUGACAUAUAAGUGGGACGAGGCCGAACAAUACACGAUGGCGUGCCAGAUCUAGAAAAUUAAAAUGAUCAGUAAUUUAAACACCAUGACAACACAUAUAGGAAAGGAAAUAUGCAUUUUAGCUAGACAGAAAGCAAGCUAACCUCGAUGACAGAACAGAGAUGAAACAAAGCAGAAGAUCGGGACGCAGCAACACAAGAGAUCGCAGAACCUAAUAAAUAAAUGGACAUGAAGUGGUCAGUGCACCGGCAUGCUAUGGAAUAGACAGGUAAAAGAAGAGUCGUUCCCCAUGUUGGGGAUCGUUGCAGAAUUUUAAAAUUUUAUACGCAUCACCAAGAUCCAUCUAUGGAGUUUACUAGCAAUGAGAGGGAAGGAGUGCAUCUACAUACCCUUGUAGAUCGCGAGCGGAAGCGUUCAAGUGAACGGGGUUGAUGGAGUCGUACUCGUCGUGAUCCAAAUCACCGAUGACCGAGCGCCGAACGGACGGCACCUCCGCGUUCAACACACGUACGGAGCAGCGACGUCUCCUCCUUCUUGAUCCAACAAGGGGAAAGAGAGGUUGAUGGAGAUCCAGCAGCACGACGGCGUGGUGGUGGAAGUAGCGGGAGGGAGAGGUGUCACGGGAGGGAGAGGGAGGCGCCAGGGGCUAGGGUGCGGCUGCCCUCCCUCCCCCCUUUAUAUAGGCCCCUUGGGGGGGCGCCGGCCCUGGGAUCCCAUCUACAUGGGGGGCAGCGGCCAAGGGGGGAAACUUCCCCCCAAGUCAGGUGGGGCGCCCCCCACCCCCAGGGUUUCCAACCCUAGGCGCAGGGGGAGGCCCAUGGGGGGCGCACCAGCCCACCAGGGGCUGGUUCCCCUCCCACUUCAGCCCAUGGGGCCCUCCGAGAUAGGUGGCCCCACCCGGUGGACCCCCGGGACCCUUCCGGUGGUCCCGGUACAAUACUGAUAACCCUCGAAACUUUCCCGGUGGCCGAAACUGGACUUCCUAUAUAUAAUUCUUCACCUCCGGACCAUUCCGGAACUCCUCGUGACGUCCGGGAUCUCAUCCGGGACUCCGAACAACUUUCAGGUUUCCGCAUACUAAUAUCUGUACAACCCUAGCGUCACCGAACCUUAAGUGUGUAGACCCUACGAAUUCGGGAGACACGCAGACAUGACCGAGAUGACUCUCCGGUCAAUAACCAACAGCGGGAUCUAGAUACCCAUGUUGGCUCCCACAUGUUCCACGAUGAUCUCAUCGGAUGAACCACGAUGUCGAGGAUUCAAUCAAUCCCGUAUAAAUUCCCUUUGUCAAUCGGUACGUUACUUGCCCAAGACUCGAUCAUCGGUAUCCCAAUACCUCGUUCAAUCUCGUUACCGGCAAGUCACUUUACUCGUACCGUAACGCAUGAUCCCGUGACCAACCACUUGGUCACAUUGAGCUCAUUAUGAUGAUGCAUUACCGAGUGGGCCCAGAUAUACCUCUCCGUCAUACGGAGUGAUAAAUCCCAGUCUCGAUCCGUGUCAACCCAACAGACACUUUCAGAGAUACCUAUAGUGUACCUUUAUAGUCACCCAGUUACGUUGUGACGUUUGGUACAUCCAAAGCACUCCUACGGCAUCCGGGAGUUACACGAUCUCAUGGUCUAAGGCAAAGAUACUUGACAUUGGAAAAGCUCUAGCAAACGAACUACACGAUCUUUGUGCUAUGCUUAGGAUUGGGUCUUGUCCAUCACAUCAUUCUCCUAAUGAUGUGAUCCCGUUAUUAAUGACAUCCAAUGUCCAUAGUCAGUAAACCAUGACUAUCUGUUUAUCAACGAGCUAGUCAACUAGAGGCUCACCAGGGACAUGUUGUGGUCUAUGUAUUCACACAUGUAUUACGAUUUUCAGAUAACACAAUUAUAGCAUGAACAAUAGACAAUUAUCAUGAACAAGAAAAUAUAAUAAUAACCAUUUUAUUAUUGCCUCUAGGGCAUAUUUCCAACACCCCAUAUAAAUUAAAGAACGGUCCAUUUACCUGAGUUAGAGAGGAGAAGCAGGCAAGCAGAGCAGCCAAGAUGGAUGAGCAUACGAAGGACGAGCAGCCGGCAAAACCAAACGCAAAAACAGAAACCAAAUAGAGAUCAAUUUCCAGCUGAACCAGUAGAUUCACUCCUUCAGGUAUACAUCCUAAUUGGUCCUACAAAGAACACAAGAAAUUAGAGGAUGGAACUUGACUGCCUUCUGUAUCAUUUGAAGGAUGAACUUGACUGCCUAUUAAAACUAGUAAGUGUGCACGUGCAACGCACGAUAGCACAAUAGGAAAAAAAUACAUUCAUAUGAGCCAACAAAAAACAUCACAUGUAAAUUUCUAGAAAAUACUUUGGUAAGAUUUACAAACCUUCCUAGUUGCAUAUUGCAAUGCAUAGAAAACAUCUAAUUAUUGUAACAAAUGAUUAGGCAUCCAAAAAUCUAAUAGCCUGAAUGAGCUGUAAUCAUCUGAAGCAUCAGAUAAAAUUAUAUUCAUGUGGACAAAAUUGAUUAUACAAGUACAAUGUUUCAUUUCAUCGCAAAAAAGUACAAUAUUCCAUUCAUGAUAUCCUUAAGUAUGCACACCCCAAUAGAAUCAUGUAUAUCCACAUUACAUUGCAAAAACAAGUAUUUUUGUAUUACGUCUUGAAGGAAGUACACUCAUAUUCAGGCGCAAACAAACAUAUGGGAGGCCCAAAACCGCAUCUCCCAUCAUCCAUGAACAACUCUAACAAAAGCAGGUUCCCUCAUCCUCACUAACUCUCUGAUCGUUCCCUAAAAAAACUAACUCUGGUCUUGAAUGUGGUCUCAUGCCAAUGUACAAGCUCCAAGGCUUACAAAUAUGUCACAUCUUUUGAAUGGCACGCAUAAAAAUCAAGAAUUCCAUUGUCCGCCCUCAUUAAGUCUAGUAUUUUCUCUUUUUUGCCAUGAAAACUUCAGGAACUUGAGGCGUCCAAUUUCUACUUUUUCAGUGUUAGCUUGCCACAAUGUGUAUGCUACAACAGAAAAUUAGCUGAAAAUCUAAUCAUCUACAACUUCAAAAAUACAAAUGAUUAGAAUAUUUGGCAGAGGCAUGAAUUGUGUAGUAGUGAGACUUCCUGCCAUAAUAAUUAGAAGUACAAAGGAGGAGCAAACAUCAUUAAUGAAAGAGCUUAAAAGAAACCUGCGAGUUUUAUGGCACAUAUCAACACUGACACACUUAAAAUGUUCAUCACAACAAGAAUAAUUAAAAAGAUCAGGAAUGCAAAUUACGGGUUUCGAAUUUACAUCCUAAAAAGGUAUAAUAAAUUCUUGUCAAUUGUAACUGGUAGCAUCCACAAUAGUAGAAACUGGAAUCUCAAAACUGAUAUGCAUACAGGCUCAGAAUUAUUAUAUAGUUCAUAGAAGAAUACAUGUUUUCUAAUUUACGUAGCAUUGUUGUUCCUCGUUCCCACGGUAAAUCUGUACCCCCGGACCAAAAUCAAGCUACCAAAGCUAGCAACCCUUUUCCAAGCUCUAUGAGCAUGAGAAGGGUAAAAAUAGAAGGACAUGACUUUGGUAACUUAUGUGAGAAGAUGUGCUACUAAUAUUUACAGCCUUGUACGUACCUCCAUAUUGGAGGGAAAGUACAGAAAUGUGAUUGCACUGAUAUGCAGUAUAACUCACCAAGUUACCAUCUGAGCACUACUCGGUGAAUGAUACUUCAAUAUGUGUUUUAGGUUACUGACACAUUCUUCAUCUCCAGAAUUUUCGAAGUUCCGAAAUUAAUUAUCAAGAUCUGAAGUCAUAUAGCCAUUUCCCGCAGAAAGAACAAACUCAUGAUGGCACAAACACGCAAGAUGAAACCAGUAAAAUCUUGGCACUAUAUAAUCUCAUGAAUUAAGAGAAAAAUAUUGAGUUACCAAAUAUUUUCAGAAAAAAAAGCAAUCCAACAGAAGAGAGGCGGCAGGAAGUUGUUCAUAUUGAUUGAUAGCACUCCAUAUGCUUUCAACAGUAAAGGAGAAAGUAGAACCGGAAAAAGUUAAUGAGAAGUUUGAUGACAUCUCUCUUUUUGGAUGUUGCACAUGUAUAUAUAUUGACCAUGAAGUCAUAGCUGGUAAGAGAGAUUCAAUUUUGUCAACUAUUGAACCUACAUACCACAAACAUUUGAUAUGAACGUUAAUAAAAAAAUAUGGAGAAUAUUAGAAUGUAGAUAUGGAAAACCCCUAUGCAGCAAGCCACAAAUUUGUAGGCGUCAAAUUUAAAUGCUCUCUUGUUUAGUACAGGAGAUACAAUUGCAGACCUACAAAGUGAGAGUUGGAAAAUUAACAAUAGGUAGGUCAUCUAUACCAGGUUGUCGCCAAUAGACGAUUGCCCAAGCUUGUUGGUUUGCCUUUUUCCUUCACAAGCUCCACAUAAUCACCUGUCGAAAGAACAAGUUCACAUCUUGAUAAUUAAACAUCACUUCAUGACCAUCCGUUCACUUAUUAGAUUUAAAAAGAUAUAUACAGAUGAGUAUUAGAUCAAUACUCUGCUACAACAACUGAAUUGGCAUAAGCGUCGUCAAAUCAGGAUAGUUGCGGCUGUUUGAUAUUGACUAACAAUUUUUCAUUGAAGUUUUCAUACUGUUUCUUAUCCAAGACAUGAUGUAUACAAGUAUUUUUCAUAUCUGUUACUCAUCUAUACGCCUUUUAGUCUCUUUCUCAAAAAAAAUUGUAGCUGAUGCAAUGGAGAACACAGAUUAGGUUGCAUGACAAUACAUAAGUUUGAUAGUUAUUUGUGAAAAGGUACAAAAAAAUUAGAAUAGGUGGAGUGCUUAAGUAUCAACACCACUGCUAAGACAGUAGCAUCCUUCCCUCUGGUUCCUUCACUAUAACAGAGAUCCAUUUCAUGAGCUGCAAAAUUUCAAGACAUUUAGGAGUUCAUAUAUACUUUCCGUCAGGAACUGUUAAGGGUCAAAUUUACAUAAUAACCAAUAUCCUUUAAUGAAACAAAGAAAUCUGGCAUACCCCAAAAGACCAAACCAAGUAAAGCAUUUAGGGAUGUGUUUGUUUGAGGAAUGGUAAUGCAAACGCAAAUGUAAUCAGAUCAAGUUGUUAGCGUCAACAGAAUGGGAAAGAAAAAGAAACCUGUUUGUUUCAACCAAUGCAUAGACAAUCUAGUCAACAUUCCAACAUUUAUCAAUUCAUAGUACCCGAUGCAGAAAAAUACUCACAAAUCUUUUACUAAAAAAAUUCAUAGGACCCAGUAAUUAAUCUUGUAAUAAAAUCUAGGAACACAAGAGAUUGAAAUUAUCGUCAUGCAUUAGUUAGAUUUGGACAAAUUUUACAGCAAAGCAGUUAUACGGAAAUCCACAUGGGUUAUCCAAUCAAUUAUAUAGAACUCGACAAGGGUUAUCCACAUGAGGAAGGAGCUCAAGGUGGGGAUUUGGGUAGAGCCGGGGGUGAAUAGGCAUGGGAUCUGUUUACGCGGUAUUUACUUACCUUGCAUGGUUAACAAACACAUCUAACAUUUUGUGAUAAUGUAGUAAUCACAUAACGGAUUCUGAACCAACAAGUCGCAUAUAGGAGUAUAAAGAACACAUCAGCAGGUACACCAUUCUACCCAUUUUCUUCUCAAUGUCGCUUCUUUUAGAUGGCGGGUUGACAUGUGAGGAUGACCAAGGUACCGAGGAUGACAACUCUAUGAUCGUAAUUCGUAACCACAUAAAGCAACAUCAACUCGAGCAGGGCUGUCUCUCCACCUGUAUAGAAACAAUGAUUAAGAAUAGAAGACGCAUAGGCGGAUUUGUAUUACCUGGUUCUGGUUGAUGACGGGUCCAGCUGCUACCCAUGCGGCGUCAAUCUAGGAUAUGAACAUUGUUGUAGCAGCCGUGGAGACCGUGCGAAGCUGGUGAAUGGAGAGGAGGGUUGGGGAGGCUGCAACCGGCACGGGGAGCGAUGGGGACAGCGAGGCGGCAGCAUCGCAGGGCCACAUGGAGAGGAGGCUGGGGGAUGUGAGGCGCGGAUAGAGCACGGGGACGGGCAGAAUCCUAGUCGGGUCGGGCAGAAUAGAGCACGGGGACGGAGUGGUUGUACGGGAAGGAGCUAGGUUACCGCGAUGCGCCGCCCGCUGCGUCCCGCACUGCCGCCGCUACUCGACGGAGGAGAGUGAUCCCGCCGCCGCCGCCGCCGCCGCAGGUCGAUCCUGAUGCGCCUCACGCCGCCACCGCUCGACGGAGGAGAGGGACACCGGCGCCGCCGACGCAGGCCGAGCCUGCCGCAUCCCGCGUCGCUGACGCCGCUCGAGGGAGAGCGAACCCGGCGCCGCCGACGCAGGUCGAGCUUCGCCCGGCGGCCUCCUGUAGCGGCGGCGAGGAGGAGAGAGGAGGCCAGGAGGGAGGGGUGGGGAACGAUGGAGACGGGCGGAAUCUAUCCGCGAGCUGCGGGCGGGGGACACGAAGCGCGAAGAGGAUUGGCAGACCACGGCGUCUGCUGGGCAGAACUUUUCAUCUGAGACGUCGAUCUGGUUGAUACAUCAUUAGCGUAAUAUAGACUGUAGGAUGUGUUUAAGUUGACUUAAUCGGAGGGUCUUGAUUACUCCGUGUAUAAUUUGUUGGGUGGCUUUAGAGGGGUUUAUGUUUGCUCUUUUAAUAGUAGUAUAGAUGAUAAAACGCAUGAUUGCCGCGACACGUGUACUUUUUUGUGGGAAAACAUGCUGUUAGGUGCAGAAGUAAAGAACAUAUCGCAUGGAUGCUUGUUGGCAUGUGUAAAAUCAUCAGACCAAGACAGAAGAACCAUGAUUAUCAUAUGUACUGGAACUAAGAUUUACAUAGUGGCAGCCAUUGAUCUAGUUACUCAAGGGUAGUGCUACUGUUAAACAACAACUCUAAAGAAAAGUUACUGAAUCUACUAAAGUAGAAGAGAAUUCAGUUAUUUACCUGGGAAGCAACAUCACUUCAUUUCCAAUAGAAAUAUGACCAGUUCAUUUUCAAAGUAAAGAUACUCAUCCUUGAAAAGUGAAACAAAACUGCAGAAGAGCAAGGUGUCAAAAUCAGAUGAGAAAUUAGAUAUUGAUAGUUGAACUUGGCGAGCAUAGCAUAUGCUAAGAUCGGACAAUAUGAUUAAACACAACAAUGGAGCAAGUAUCACAAGUAAACCAACACUGACACACUUCUGUAAAGAUGGUCUGAAUAUUUCAGAACUAAGUCUUAGGGUUUGGGUUCAGGGAUGUGAAACUGCACCAAUCAUCCAAUUUACCGGCGGCGGCAACAUACAGCCGGUCAAAUGAAAAUUGCUGAAUUAAUAUCAAGCAAGAAAAAAGCAUGAGUUGCAGAUUUAGUGAGGUGAGAUGGGGCUGACCUGUAACUCACCAAUUGCUGAAAGAAAACUUGUGAUCAACUUCCUCCCUUUAGUAACAUCCACCUCCAAACUCUGGAAUCAAAUCAGAAAUCCAGAUGGGAGGAACGAAAAAAAUUGAUGUGAAUGAUCUUUACAGAAAACGAAAAAAACCACGCUUGACAUGUUUGUAAAUAAAAUAACAACAUGUAUGUAAUCCGUCAGGGAAAAUGAUAUUGCAAACAAAAAUGUUAAAUUUCUUCCUCUCUAAGGUGAAAAUCCUCAAAAGGAGUAACCCCAUGGUCCCAUUCUAAAUUUCUUGGGACAUAUAUUUAAUGACUAAAGUUUUCAAAUUUCUCGGAAUAUUAAUCAUGAAGCUGAAGAAUGCAUGAAACAACGGACAAAAUAUAUCUAUCAUAGGAUUUCCUCAAAGAGAAAAAUACAAAGAGAGUAUUGGGAUAAAUUAUCGAAUCUGUUCAAGUGAAGAAUGCAUACCCAGGGGUUUUACCCCCCCNNNNNNNNNNNNNNNNNNNNNNNNNNNNNNNNNNNNNNNNNNNNNNNNNNNNNNNNNNNNNNNNNNNNNNNNNNNNNNNNNNNNNNNNNNNNNNNNNNNNNNNNNNNNNNNNNNNNNNNNNNNNNNNNNNNNNNNNNNNNNNNNNNNNNNNNNCCUCUAGUGUACAGCUUCUUAUGCGAAGGCUGUACCAAAGUACAUGAGAUAACAUGAGGCUAGUUAUUUUUCACAGUAAUUAUCUUAAUUGUGAGACAUCACUAUGCAAUAUCUCAGAGCCGGUAAAAAAGAGUUACACAUUAUUGAGGGUUUGUGACAGGAUGGUAUGCCAUCGACAAGUUAAGGUGAUAAAAAAUUUGGUGUAUUUUCUCUUAUGGGCAAGGAAGCAAGAGUUUAGCUAUUACAAAUUUACUAUACAUACAUGUUGAAGUUUUUGCAUACCUACAGCUUCGAACUGAUUAGUUCAUCCAAUGCCCUCUCCUCCAGCUCAUAAAUCAUGAAGCCGUGUUGGACCAUUAAUCUUCUCCUCUAGCAAGCACCUGGGUAAAGAUACUAAAUCAAACACACACAAAAGUGCCAAUGAAACACAGAUUCUGCGGCACAAACUGAAGGUACGACAAACAUUUGCUGCAGUAGUAGUUUAAACACAUGCUAAUUGCGACGGAGAACAGGAUGGUUCUCAUCGUUCUCAUUUAAGCCCAGUCAUCUCAUUCAUGUCAAGGGUACUGUAAAACAUGAUUGUUAAAAUUCAGAAACAUCAAACUGAAUCCUGACUAUCACCAAAAAAAGAAGUGAAUCCCUGCCACCGGAGAUCUUGGCACAACAAAAUCGAAGCCGCUCACAUGGGCACGCUCCUUAAUCUCCACAUACCUGCUGCACGCCUCAGGGUCUAGCUUACCAGAACUGAGCUCUUCGCAUCCACUAAACACAAUCUGAUACAAAUAGACCAUUCCACCACAGAGCUCGGGGAGAAACAUGGCGGCGGCUCCUCGCCCUUUCACAAUGAGCAUGUUUGAGCCAAUCAAGAAGGCAAAAAGGAAAUGAACAAAACAAUUGCAACUGAAGAAAUCAGGAUGCUCCCUGCAGAUAACAUAUCUCAAGAAUCCAAAAAAAAUGAAACUACAGUCCAUAGGGCAGGUUGCUAAGUAUGUGUGGCAGCAAACAAGAACUGCAUGAUCAGAUCAUCCUCGAUGGCCGGCAUGCUGUCCUAAUCACAUAGCGGUGGUGCUACUAAUUAAAUUGAUAACUAUGAUGCUUUUAUCUAAAUAUGAAGACAACAAAUGGUGUCAUGAGACCGAGUUUAACUAUGUGCGGAGGCAAACAAAUAUGGUUUUAGAAUGGCUACAACCAAAACUACUUUUGUAUUGACUAACAAUAAAAAAUAAUUAGAAUGAUAACGUGAGAAUGCGGUUAGUAGAAUCAUGUCUUGGAAAUUAUGCAUUUUUUGUAUUUUCUGCCUUUCGUGUCAAUGUCAAACAGCAUACACUUUGUACAAUACACUAACUGGUAAUUGUCAGACAAACAGGAAAAUGACACCACUGAAUAUGACCUAAACAUGAAAAGGUUAAUUCAUGGAAAUUUAACAGACUAUCUACAAGAAGCAAUGUUCUCUUUCCAUCUUUUGUAUGUCCGUCAAGCAAGCCAUGAGUAACAAAGAUGGCAAGUUGGAACAGUACAUGAGCAUCUGAAUAUUUCAGAACUAAGUCUUGGGGGUUCAGGGAUGUGAAACUGCGCACACGCGCGCGCACAAACAGAGUGAGCGAGUGAGUGCCUGGUUGAGUAUUGGAGAGAGAGAGAGAUGGGGAUCGUACCGGAUCCAAAGCAACAGGAGCCAAGCUGCGAGAAAUCCAUCGACGGUGGCUCAGAUCCCGCGCCAACCCGACCAGCCCCUCGAACGGAAUGCAUCACGGGCCCUGCCUCUCGGUCCACCGCACGCGCCGCCGCGGACGUCCCGAGCCCUGCCUCUCGGUCCACAGCCCGCGCCGUCGCGGACGUCCCGAGCCCCGUGGAGUGCGCCGCCGGCCACGAGCGCCGCGACGGCGGUGGUCCCGCUCAUGGAGUCGUCCAUGGCCGCCCGAAACGCGAAGAGGAGGGAGGGGCUCGCGGCGCGCGGGGGGGAGGGGGACGGGGGAAGGAAGGGGUGGCGUCACCAGGAGGCUAGGGUUCGUGGGAGGGGAUCCGGGAAGAGAGCAGCGUGGGUGGGUGGGGGCGCGAGUGCGGGCUCGAGUGCGG
rnacentral:lncRNA from 1 species